UAUAUUCGUUCAGAAAUCCCCUCUUCUCCCAGAUCCGCCUCUCGCUCCCCCAACUCCAGUUGUCGCAGGAGACGCGCCGCUCCCUCCACCGAUCCAUCACCGUUGCCCCUGCUUCACCGAGGCCUGCAGGGCUUACCCACCGCCAACUCUACUCCACCCCCUAACUCCCCUGCCGCCGUCCUUCUUCUUCCUUAACUUCGGCGCAGGGCCGCCGCCACGUCGCACCGGGGUAACUUCGAGUGCUCCCAAGUGCUUAUUACGCCAUGGACUUGAAUACCGCAAAGAGUAUGAUGCUGGACGACAGCAACAUCAGCCCAAGAAAGAAGACAUUCACGACACGUAAGAACACCAUGCUGAGCAUAAGCAGAAACAUCAAUCCAGCAGACCAAGAAAUGCUCAAAACAUACAAGAGGAGAAGAGUGAACAGGGCUUCCAUCCCUCAGUUGUUAGACGACACUGGUGGAGAAACCAUCUUUGGUCGGUCGACCAGAUUUCACAAUAGUCCCGGUUAUAUUAAAAACCGCGACUAAAAAUAUCUUUAGUCC